rnacentral:rRNA from 1 species
AGGUAAGCUACUAAGAGCGAAUGGUGGAUGCCUUGACUGGUAAAGGCGAUGAAGGACGUACUAGACUGCGAUAAGCUACGGGGAGCUGUCAAGAAGCUUUGAUCCGUAGAUUUCCGAAUGGGGCAACCCAAUGUAUAGAGAUAUACAUUACCUAUAUAGGAGCGAACGAGGGGAAUUGAAACAUCUUAGUACCCUCAGGAAAAGAAAUCAAUAGAGAUUGCGUCAGUAGCGGCGAGCGAAAGCGCAAGAGGGCAAACCCAGUGCUUGCACUGGGGGUUGUAGGACUGCAAUGUGCAAGAGGUAAGUUUAGCAGAACAUUCUGGAAAGUAUAACCAUAGAGGGUGAUAGUCCCGUAUGCGAAAAACAAACCUUAGCUAGCAGUAUCCUGAGUAGGGCGGGACACGAGGAAUCCUGUCUGAAUCCGGGUCGACCACGAUCCAACCCUAAAUACUAAUACCAGAUCGAUAGUGCACAAGUACCGUGAGGGAAAGGUGAAAAGAACUGAGGUGAUCAGAGUGAAAUAGAACCUGAAACCAUUUGCUUACAAUCAUUCAGAGCCCUAUGUAGCAAUACAGGGUGAUGGACUGCCUUUUGCAUAAUGAGCCUGCGAGUUGUGGUGUCUGGCAAGGUUAAGCAAACGCGAAGCCGUAGCGAAAGCGAGUCUGAAUAGGGCGCUUAGUCAGAUGCUGCAGACCCGAAACGAAGUGAUCUAUCCAUGAGCAAGUUGAAGCUAGUGUAAGAACUAGUGGAGGACUGAACCCAUAGGCGUUGAAAAGCCCCGGGAUGACUUGUGGAUAGGGGUGAAAGGCCAAUCAAACUUCGUGAUAGCUGGUUCUCUCCGAAAUAUAUUUAGGUAUAGCGUUGUGUCGUAAUAUAAGGGGGUAGAGCACUGAAUGGGCUAGGGCAUACACCAAUGUACCAAACCCUAUCAAACUCCGAAUACCUUAUAUGUAAUCACAGCAGUCAGGCGGCGAGUGAUAAAAUCCGUCGUCAAGAGGGAAACAACCCAGACUACCAGCUAAGGUCCCUAAAUCUUACUUAAGUGGAAAACGAUGUGAAGUUACUUAAACAACCAGGAGGUUGGCUUAGAAGCAGCCAUCCUUUAAAGAAAGCGUAAUAGCUCACUGGUCUAGUGAUUUUGCGCGGAAAAUAUAACGGGGCUAAAGUAAGUACCGAAGCUGUAGACUUAGUUUACUAAGUGGUAGGAGAGCGUUCUAUUUGCGUCGAAGGUAUACCGGUAAGGAGUGCUGGAGCGAAUAGAAGUGAGCAUGCAGGCAUGAGUAGCGAUAAUUAAUGUGAGAAUCAUUAACGCCGUAAACCCAAGGUUUCCUACGCGAUGCUCGUCAUCGUAGGGUUAGUCGGGUCCUAAGUCGAG